rnacentral:rRNA from 1 species
UUGACCUCGGAUCAGGUAGGAAUACCCGCUGAACUUAAGCAUAUCAAUAAGCGGAGGAAAAGAAACCAACAGGGAUUGCCCUAGUAACGGCGAGUGAAGCGGCAACAGCUCAAAUUUGAAAUCUGGCUCUCGGGCCCGAGUUGUAAUUUGUAGAGGAUACUUUUGAUGCGGUGCCUUCCGAGUUCCCUGGAACGGGACGCCAUAGAGGGUGAGAGCCCCGUCUGGUUGGAUGCCAAAUCUCUGUAAAGUUCCUUCGACGAGUCGAGUAGUUUGGGAAUGCUGCUCUAAAUGGGAGGUAUAUGUCUUCUAAAGCUAAAUACCGGCCAGAGACCGAUAGCGCACAAGUAGAGUGAUCGAAAGAUGAAAAGCACUUUGAAAAGAGAGUUAAAAAGUACGUGAAAUUGUUGAAAGGGAAGCGUUUAUGACCAGACUUGGGCUUGGUUGAUCAUCUGGGGUUCUCCCCAGUGCACUCUUCCAGUCCAGGCCAGCAUCAGUUUUCGCCGGGGGAUAAAGACUUCGGGAAUGUGGCUCUCUUCGGGGAGUGUUAUAGCCCGUUGUGUAAUACCCUGGCGGGGACUGAGGUUCGCGCAUCUGC